CUCCGCCACCGCCGAAGUAAGGCAUGCAGAAGAAAGUCCUCUGGUUGAAUUUGUCCAUAGCAUCAUCCAUCCUACCAUUCAACGGCGGCUGCUGCUGCCCCACCGGUGGGUAGGAUGGCUGGUGCUAUGGAUAGCUUCAACCCGAUGUUCGUGCCACAGCCACAGCCAACCCGAUGUUCGUGUCAAGCAGGGUGCCAAUCCUCUGGUUGAAUUUGUCCAUAGCAUCAGCGUUGGCCAUUCAACUGUGGUGGUAGCAGACUAGCAGUUGCUGCCUUUUGGCGCUGGUGCUAUGGAUAAAUUCAACCGGAUGGUUGGGACAUACCCGAUUGAAAGAAGCUUUGCGGCCGCGGACGUCCAGGCCGGUGGGAGCAGAGUGCCCUGGCGGCGGCCGAGACGGUCCAUCGUCGACUGAGGGUAGCCAGUCCUCUGGUUGAUGGGUACGAUGGCUGGUGCUAUUCAACUGUGUUAUUUCUUGCCUUUUUGCAUGAUGGGCACGAUGGCUGGUGCUAUGGAUAAAUUCGACCAGAUGGUUGGCAUACCAAUUGAAGAAGCCUUGCUUAGGGUUAAUUCAGCCGGCUGUCAGUUUGAAGCAGUUGGAUGUUGCUGUUGAUCCGGAUGGUUCAUAUUCGAUUACACCCCAACGCAGUAGUUGCCUGAUUUAUGGUUGUUGGACUCAUGCUCGACUCUAGUUUUAAACAAGUUAAAAUCUAGACCUAAUGAACUCUUAACUUGUUUUUACAGUUCUAAUACGCAUCCAUGGUACCAAGUACCAAUAUCUGGACAUUGCAAAGGUGAUGAAGAGGGGAGGAGUCUAUUGGAUUGAAAGUAGUAAUGUAACUGUUUUCAGCGAUUCAAGAUUUCCUUGGUGUUUAAGGUAUCUUUACAAUGUCCUGCGACAUGGUUCAUGUGUAUUGGUUGUCUUUUGUCUUUUGAGUUCUGCUAGAGUUUGUUGCAGCUAACCUGGGGUCUUCUGCGCAUCUUAGUUUUGUAAGUGUGCAAGCUUUAGAAGGUCAGAAAGCUCCACUAUGUAUGGGAUUUGUACGAUUCUGAACUGAAGGUCAGAAAGCUCCACUAUGUAUCAGUAGAACUGAAAAUCCUCUGGUUGAAUUUGUCCAUAGCAUCAUCCAUCCUACCAUUCAACGGUGGCUGCUGCUGCCCAACAGUGGGUAGGAUGGCUGGUGCUAUGGAUAGCUUCAACCUGAUGUUGGUGACAUACCCCCGUCCGUCGUAAGUCAAGCAGGGAGCCAAUCCUCUGGUUGAAUUUUUCCAUAGCAUCAGCACCGGCCAUUCAACUCUGGUGGUAGUAGUUGCUGCCUUUUGGCGCUGGUGCUAUGGAUAAAUUCAACCGGAUGGUUGUGCAUCCCAAUUGGAAGAAGAAGCCUCGCUUAGAGAAUCAGCUGAUAAUCAGUUUGAAGCUGGGAGCCAGUUUUCCGGUUGAGUUUGUAGAGAGCAUCCAUCCAUCCUGCCGUCCAGCUGUGGUAGCUGCUAGCCUGCUACCCUCUUGCACGAUGAUUAAGAUGGCUGAUGCUCUGGAUAAACUCAACCCGAUGGUUGUGCAUACCCGAGUGAAAGAAUAAGCCUUGCUUAAAGUUAUAAGUGAGCCGACAGUCAGUUUGAAGCAGGGAGUCAUCUCAUCUCGGUCACUUGGUUGAAUUUUCUUAUAUCAUCAUACAGCCUGCCUUUGGACUCUGAUGCUCUUUUUGCAGAAUGGGUAGGAUGUAUGUUGCUGUGGACCAAUUCCAGAUUCAUGUUAUUCGUCUACUACUGGACACAGUUCCUCUUAGUUACCUUAUUCAUGGUUAUUGUACUCAUUAUGGCUCUAACUGAAUGUUCUGUUAUCUAGAAAAAGAUAGUUGAAAUCUAGACCUAAAUCUUUUUAUUAUUCUUGUUUUUAGUUUGAAGCUGCAUACAUGGUACCAUCGUUCCAAGCACCAAAAUCUGGACAGUGCAAAACUUUCAACAGGGUUCAUAUGUAUGGGUUGUCUUGCAGGUUCAGUUUGCUGUGGCGAAUUCUUCUCGAAUUUCUUGCGCAAACUCACAAGUUCAGUUUUCUGUAAGUGUGCAUAGUUUAGAAUGUCAGAAACUCAUUCAUGCAUGGAAUUUGUACCAUUCUAAACUGAAAAUUUGUAUCUCAAAAUUAUCAAGGGCCAUAUAUAAAAUUAUUGGUUGCUAGAUAAAAAAUUCUUAUUUCCAAAUA